AAUGUUUUAUUUUGUCUGCAAUUUUUUCCCCCGUCUAUUGUCUCUCCACCCUCUCAGCGAAAGUCUCGACGGAGUCACAGCCCUGGGUGCAUCGCAGCGAUGAGACAAAUGCAGAAAAUGAACUGGAAGAAAACAGGGAGGCGAGAAAAACGCGCGGCUGGCCGACGAUGGCCGAAAACUCAAAGGAGAGAUGGUUACACUGCAUCGCCAGCUUGCCUCAUCUGAAUCCCUGACUCCUGACCUCCCCUGAGGAAGGUGCUCACUGUCAGAAGAACCCCCGGCAUCCUACCGCCACAGAAAGGUGAUUCCUUUAAAGCGCCAGAAACGGAUGAAGGAGCGAGAGGGGGCUGCGCAAGGCGGGCAGACGGGGAGGGGAGCUGUCGCUUGUGUCAGGUUAACCUCAGAGACACAUCCGGAGCUCAGCAUCUGGGAGACGGAGGGGAGAGAGAGAGAGGCACCGCCGCUCCAUUUGGCGCAAUUUCACCACGGCAGCAACAGAUAGCAACAAAAGUCCCGUUGAGGUCUUUAAGGUAACCUAUUAUGAUCUUUUCUUUAUAUUUUGUAUUAUAUAUUUUUAAAUGUAGUAUAUGCACAAGUUUAAUUUUAUUAAAAAGAUCCUGUAACGUUUAAAUAGCCUUCUGUGUAAGAGAAAAAUAAAAAGCCACUCUUUUGCAUUACUUGUUGACUGUGUGGACAUACGCAUAUCUCUUUCUCUUUUUUAAACAAGUCUUAAAAUUCAUUAGAUUUAUUUUACGGUGUUUUCACCCUUGAUCACAAACCUCGUGAUUUGUGUGGAAAUGCAACGAAUCUCCCAGGUUUAGAAAAAAGGGUAAAUGAUUACAUAAAAAAAAAUAAAAAAUAAUAACAGAUGGGCCUGCCUAAAAAAAUAUGAUUUUCUACAAAUGAUUGCAUUCUCUCCCCUUUGGUGUGAAAAGUAGACUCAAGAACACUUUUAAAUAAUUUGUUCAAUUUGUUCCACAGCCAAAGAAAAGCGGCUUGGUGGAAAUUCAGAUUCAUUAAAACUUAAUUAAUAUGCAUCAUUAUGUAAAUGAGGUUGCAGUUAAUGAGUUCUUAAAAGAAGCCUUCCUUAAUUAGUUCACUUUUUAAUGGCAUCAUCAUUUAUCUUUUUUCUUUGAAGCAGAAUGACGCGAGGACCUCGCCGUUCCCGAAAGUGCUAAAAUUUUCCAUUUUUUAAUUAUUCUUAUUUCCUUAAUUUUUAUAUGAUUAAGAAUGCAUUUAGGGAAGUAAAUAAAUGAGAAAAACUUAGACCUUUUUUUCCACACUCACUUAUUUCCAUUAAAACAGAGUCUCUGUAGAUGCCGGAGUGUUUAAAAAGUUAAAGGGAAAGCAUCUUCUUACAAAACAAUCAAGGCUGUCUCACAAUUACCUCCUUGGCUUCUGCGAGUAGCUUCAUUUCUACUAAAUCUGAGCAGCCUCUUAAUUGCUCUCUCCAGUUGGGCUGCAGUAUAUAUUACCACACUCCAUUACUAUUUAUGGAGCCUGAGAUUCAUAUUGCAAAUAUGAAGAUGACUGUGGUCAUUUCCUUCUGUAUUCAUGCUCUCAUUUAUUCAUUUACAUAUUCAAUCACUCAAUUUUUUUUUCCCUAAUUAAUUAAUUUAUUUACUUACUUGGUAAACAAUUUACCUCAGAUAUAAUGGAUAAAAUUAAUAAGCUAUCUAAUUUUUAGUUCACCACAUCUGAUGGGUUUGGGAAACUAAAUGAGAAUUUAGGAAAUCAUAUAUAUCUUGCACAAGCUGCAUAAAAUGUUUUUUUCAUUUUCAUAUGUAAAGCAUGCAGUAACAACAGUGUGAUUAAUUUCUCUUUCCUGUGACUUUGUGAACCGGUUGAAGUGGAGAUCAGUGUCUUACACACACAAGAAAAGUUGUAUAAUAAAACCUUGCAAAUCGCAAGGAUAAUUUUACGUUUACUCUCACAUGCAAGAUAGGGAUAUAAACUAUACGAUUUGACGGCAGUGUUUGUGAACGUGUGUGUGUGUGUUUGUAAAGGUAGAGAGGGUGUGUGUGGAGGGGGAGACACGGUGUUUUAUGUUCCCGCUCACUAACCAUCACUCUGCUCCUAAUUGAUAACCACUGGCAUUUGAUCAGGCGGUCUUCAAACAAGGAAUCUAUCUUUGUAUUUUGUAUAAGAAGACCAUCUGUUGUUGCAGAGCUCUACAUUCAUUAAAUUUAAUUUCUCAACCCAGGAAUAAGAUUUUAAUUGUCCAUUGUUACUAGAGGAUCUUCCCCAUCAUCCCUCCAUGGAUGUUUUUUGUUUUG